UGGGGGAAUAUUGGGCAAUGGGGGAAAACCCUGACCCAGCAACGCCGCGUGAAGGAAGAAGGCUUUCGGGUUGUAAACUUCUUUUACCAGGGACGAAGAAAGUGACGGUACCUGGAGAAAAAGCCACGGCUAACUACGUGCCAGCAGCCGCGGUAAUACGUAGGUGGCAAGCGUUAUCCGGAUUUACUGGGUGUAAAGGGAGCGUAGGCGGCGGAGCAAGUCAGAAGUGAAAGCCCGGGGCUCAAACCCCGGGACGGCUUUUGAAACUGCCCUGCUUGAUUUCAGGAGAGGUAAGCGGAAUUCCUAGUGUAGCGGUGAAAUGCGUAGAUAUUAGGAGGAACACCAGUGGCGAAGGCGGCUUACUGGACUGACAAUGACGCUGAGGCUCGAAAGCGUGGGGAGCAAACAGGAUUAGAUACCCUGGUAGU
rnacentral:rRNA from 1 species